UGCCACAGCCAUAUCACCCUGCAGCCCAAGACCGGUUACUGAAGCUAAGCAGGGCUGAGUCUGGUCAGCACCUGGAUGGGAGACCACUUAGGAUAACUAGGUUGCUGUUGGAG
rnacentral:rRNA from 1 species